rnacentral:rRNA from 1 species
UAGGGAAUAUUGGGCAAUGGACGAGAGUCUGAUCCAGCCAUGCCGCGUGCAGGAAGACGGCGUUCUGCGUUGUAAACUGCUUUUAUCUGGGAAGAAAAGGCCCCUGCGGGGGACAUUGCCGGUACCAGAUGAAUAAGCACCGGCUAACUCCGUGCCAGCAGCCGCGGUAAUACGGAGGGUGCAAGCGUUGUCCGGAUUUAUUGGGUUUAAAGGGUGCGUAGGCGGCUGUUUAAGUCAGUGGUGAAAGACCCCGGCUCAACCGGGGCAGUGCCAUUGAUACUGGACAGCUUGAGUAUUGGAGGGGUACAUGGAAUUGACGGUGUAGCGGUGAAAUGCAUAGAUACCGUCAGGAACACCGAUAGCGAAGGCAUUGUACUGGCCAACAACUGACGCUGAUGCACGAAAGCAUGGGUAGCGA